rnacentral:rRNA from 1 species
CCUACGGGUGGCAGCAGUGAGGAAUAUUGGUCAAUGGACGAGAGUCUGAACCAGCCAAGUAGCGUGAAGGAUGACUGCCCUAUGGGUUGUAAACUUCUUUUAUAAGGGAAUAAAACGAGGCACGUGUGCCUUUUUGCAUGUACUUUAUGAAUAAGGAUCGGCUAACUCCGUGCCAGCAGCCGCGGUAAUACGGAGGAUCCGAGCGUUAUCCGGAUUUAUUGGGUUUAAAGGGAACGUAGAUGGGUUGUUAAGUCAGUUGUGAAAGUUUGCGGCUCAACCGUAAAAUUGCAAUUGAUACUGGCAGUCUUGAGUACAGUUGAGGUAGGCGGAAUUCGUGGUGUAGCGGUGAAAUGCGUAGAUAUCACGAAGAACCCCGAUGGCGAAGGCAGCUUACUAAACUGUGACUGACAUUGAUGCUCGAAAGUGUGGGGAUCAAACAGGAUUAGAUACCCGGGUAGUC